rnacentral:rRNA from 1 species
UCUCAGUUCAGAUUGCAGGCUGCAACCCGCCUGCAUGAAGUCGGAAUUGCUAGUAAUCGCGGAUCAGCAUGCCGCGGUGAAUACGUUCCCGGGCCUUGUACACACCGCCCGUCACACCAUGGGAGCCGGUAAUACCCGAAGUCAGUAGUCCAACCCCGUGAGGACGCUGCCGAAGGUAGGAUUGGCGACUGGGGUGAAGUCGUAACAAGGUAGC